UGGCAAUGAGGACAGGAAUGUUAACUGAACUACUGUGAUUACUCUAUACGCUAUUCUGAGCCAACA